GCUCCAGUGGCGCAAUUGGUUAGCGCACGGUACUUAUAAUCAGUACACUGUGUCAUGAGCAAUGCCGGGGUUGUGAGUUCGAGCCUCACCUGGAGCA
rnacentral:tRNA from 1 species